rnacentral:ncRNA from 2 species
GGAGGCCGGGGAGAUGGCAUGCCUCCCGUCCGCCAUGCGGAUGAACCGCCCCAGGGCUGAUGAUGCCUGUUCCGUC